UACGUAGGGUGCAAGCGUUAAUCGGAAUUACUGGGCGUAAAGCGUGCGCAGGCGGCUUUGCAAGACAGAUGUGAAAUCCCCGGGUUUAACCUGGGAACUGCAUUUGUGACUGCAUGGCUAGAGUGCGGCAGAGGGGGAUGGAAUUCCGCGUGUAGCAGUGAAAUGCGUAGAUAUGCGGAGGAACACCGAUGGCGAAGGCAAUCCCCUGGGCCUGCACUGACGCUCAUGCACGAAAGCGUGGGGAGCAAACAGG
rnacentral:rRNA from 1 species